rnacentral:sRNA from 2 species
GCGCAGACCCCGUCGAACUGCUACCGCUCACGCGGUGGAAGACCGGGGACCCAUCGUUCCCUGGGGUGAAUCUCGCCUGGCCCAUGCGCCGCCGCGAGUAGGGCUGUCUCCGGCCCGAACCCGUCAGCUAACUCGGUAGACGGCGAGGGAGAACGG